UCUGCCAGAUCCUGAACAGCUGUCUUAAAGUUAUUGAGAAGAGAGUAGAUGGCGUGUUUGCUGCCAACAGCCAUGUUAUAGCUGCCUGGUUUCCACCAUCUUCGCUGAAUCCGAUGCAACACCUGCCGGAAAAUGCAGCAAAUCUCCAACGGCUUCUCCUUCCAGUGUGGGAACCUGGACACUGGACACUCU